CUCUGAGAAGUUAGCUCUGAUCUCAAUAAGAACUGAUGUGAUACCACAACAUCCGUUCGGUGAACAAAGCUCUGUACAUUAUUAUCACGUGACUUGUAAGGAGUUCGGGGAACAAAAUAUUGUGGUUACAAUUGGCAAUAAUCCAUCAGAAACUAAUAACUAUCCAGCGAGCUCUAUUAUCACUUUGAGAUUUGCCUGCAUGAUACCUGCCACCCUCAACUCUGAACCAGAUGUCCAACUACCCGAGAUCACGGAUCGUACGUUCAGUUUACAGGAUUGUCAGAGUCCUAAUAAAGAGCCAAUAGUACGAAACUUCCAUCGUUCACAACGAACAUCACAAAGGUUGAAGUUGAAAACGAGUCUCGCAAGGGAAAGAUUCUCUGUAACGUGCUCAGUGCUGAGGACAACGACUACUGGUUCACACGAGAAGGGAAACGCGUAACAAAUAGCAAAAUAUAUCGUUACAAGAAGAAUAGAUAUCUGAGAAUAAAAAAGAUCACAUGGCUGACGCUGGGUGAAUACGUUUGCUGGGCAAGAAACAAGGCGGGAGAAGUGAGCAGAAUAAUAAACGUUGUUGUCGUGGACUCACGUGUAGACAAGAUCACUAAAGAUUUUGCACCCGUUUUUCUAUUUCCGCAUU